CGUAGGGGGCAAGCGUUGUCCGGAAUUAUUGGGCGUAAAGAGCGUGUAGGCGGCCCGGUAAGUCGGCUGUGAAAAGUCCCAGGGCUCAACCCUGGGAUGCCGGUCGAUACGUGCCGGACUAGAGUUCGGAAGAGGCGAGUGGAAUUCCCGGUGUAGCGGUGAAAUGCGCAGAGUAUCGGGAGGAACACCUAUGGCGAAGGCAGCUCGCUGGGACGUUACUGACGCUGAGACGCGAAAGCGUCGGGGAGCAAACAGGAUUAGAUACCCUGGUAGUCCACGCCGUAAACGAUGGGCACUAGGUGUGGGAGGUGUCGACUCCUCCCGUGCCGGAGCUAACGCAUUAAGUGCCCCGCCUGGGGAGUACGGCCGCAAGGCUA
rnacentral:rRNA from 1 species